rnacentral:snRNA from 1 species
AUCUUUACCUGGCAGAGGAGACACCAUGAUCAGGCAGGUGGUUUUCCCAAGGUGAGGCUUAUCCCUUGCACUCCAGGUGUGCUGACCCCCCUUUCCCAAAUGUGGGAAACUUGACUUUCUUUUUUUUUUAAGGGGCAGGGACCCUGG